GUGGGGUACGGAGACAUGCGUCCCGUGGGAGUGUGGGGUAAGAUUGUGGGCUCAUUAUGUGCUAUCGCAGGCGUGCUAACAAUAGCGCUUCCGGUUCCAGUGAUAGUUUCUAAU
rfam:Limulus polyphemus voltage-gated K channel mRNA, partial cds.